rnacentral:lncRNA from 1 species
UUGACCAGCUUUGCUUUGGAAGGCCAAGUCUCACGGGGAUGUCCACUCAUUCAUCGUGAUGGCACCAGUGACGACUCUCGAACUUAGGAGCAGAAAAAGAAGGAAUGGCCAUGUGACUUAUGUCCAUGGAAAACCUGUUCUUGAGCGUUUUUCCAGACUGUGAUUGGCUGUGGAUAACAAACUGCGGAAUGCGAAACUGUUGAUAAGGGUGGACUACUGUAACUCUGGACAAUUUCCUCAACUCUGCCCAAUAUCAAAGGAAGGCUCUUGUAAGCAUUUCUAUAAAUUGCAAAAGCAGGCUCCAAGCAUUGUCAGUGAUGUGCUACAAAGAGGAACAACUAAGCUGACACAGAUAUGAAGGCAGCAAUGACACUGAACUGCCAGAAUAGUGAUCCUCAAAGGUGGACAGGUGUCACACCUGAAUCCCUGGGGGUCAGGACCAAUCAACUUCCCCGCCUACCCCAACCGUGGCCACUCUUUCUAGUCAUAGUUUAUCUUAUGCCUCAGGGGCAGUAAUGGGGUUAAGAAAUGGUAGAAAGUAUGUACCCAAAUUCUCAAUCACAUUUGAUUGUUCACUAGAACUUUUUCUAAGAAGACUAAAUGGUGAGAACGGGGGGAUGGCCCUCCAGGAAAAUUCAGGUAGGUGUCAUAAUAUUUAAUGAAAGAGGCAUUUCCUUUUUUAAUCCUUUGUAGGGUCAGAAAAGAAAAAAAUUCAAGAUAUGCAAAGGAAGCCAGAUCAAAAUCCCCUUGGCCAUGGAUACUGGUGCCCUACAUCAGCACCCUUCAAGAGUGUGGAUGAGGCUGAGUAGGUGGGAACCUGCAUCCCUUGAAAGAAGCAGGCAAGGACAGGGUAGUGACAAGUGCUGGUCACUUGUGAGGGCUGCCUCCCCAUCCAGUUCCCUCUGCAGCCAGGAGCAGGAGUUGUUUCUGGCUCAAGCCAGCCCCCAUGGCCGCCAUUCCCUUAUAUGACCCUGCUUCGCAGGGUAACGUACCAGACAGUUUCACGCUCGUUAUCCUUGCAACGGAUUACUCGGUGAGGAGCAUCAGAGAACUGAAAAGACAGACUGACUUCGACUUGAAUCCUGGCUCUUCCUCUUACUAGUUUCAUGGCCUUGGAUGGAAAAAUGAGUUAUUCCACUGAAGCCAGGAAAAUCCAUGCUGGCACCCUAGCAGUCCAUCAGAAAGUCGUUAUUUCUCCACUGUCAGAGAUCCUGUCCUGAAUAUGCAGCCUAGCACAGCAUGUUAUGGAGCCAGGUUUCAGAAAACAGCUUUGAUAAAGCCUGUUUCCAGUGGCCUGAUGGGAUUCCAGGAUGCAGUCAUGCUGUAAGAUGGUGGCCAGACGUGUGUGAUUUGGAGCUCUACUUCAGGAAAGCUUGCAAGUAGUCAUGAGCUCAUGGCAACAUGAUGUGCUCAGCCAGCCAUGAGCACACUUCAUUUGAAGUCUUUAAAGAAGAAAAAAUCUUUAGAGCAUAUAUUGGGCUCUAGACAAGUCUGCCUCUGGGAUCAAGGGAAAGGAGAACUCAGUACCCUGAGGUGCACAAAAGGCACUGCACAAGAAGGCCCACAUUGACGUGCAGAAGGAAGUGAAGAGGAAGGAGUGAUACAUUCUGAAAUGGUUGAAGAGCCGAAAAAAGGCAAAGCAUUGAGGAAAGUGAGAACUGAGGAAAAGGGCACUGGAUUUGAUGACUCACUACUCUCCUUUAGUGAACUUUAAUAGAAGAGUUUCAGUAGAGUAAUAGAAACCAAAAUUGCAACCAGUUCAACGAGUAGGAGGCAAAGAAAUGCCAGUGAACAUAGAUUAUGCUUGAAAUGAAUGCAAGAGAUGAGACAGCUGACUUCAGAAAGCAGCGGAUUCAACAGAAGAUUGUUUAAUUGGCUGACAAUUUUUAUGAUAAGAAAGACCAGAAAAGGUCUAUAGGCUAAUGGGGGAGAGGAUAGUGGGAAAAGAUUGUAGAGGUUUGGGAGGUUUUUGUCCUCAGAUAGGAGGAAAGAGAGAAGGUACAUGGCACCUAAUACAUACUCAAUACGUAUUUGUUGAAUUAAAAAGGAUCUAGUUUGGAGGAUGCUAACUCUUAUGGGGAGUAAUAGUAUAAUAAUUAAGUCAAAUCUUAGCAAGAGGUGGUUCCUGGAAGAACUCAGGUCUCAUUUGAAGGGAUCCCAAGAUCCCUUGAGCCAGGCACUUCUCCCCAUGCAGGAAUAUAGAGCCAUUGAUACCAGAGAUUCUGAUGGCAAAAAGCUGGAUUUUUGUGGGAGAUUUCUUUAUUUUUAAACUUUGACAACUGUUUUAAACAACGUUAAUCCAACAAAAUAGCCAAUAUUCAGUCAAUUGGCAACCACUUGGUAACUUGUAUUUUAGCACAUAUUUCUCUAGAUCAUACUUGCUUGAAUGGCAUUUAACAGUUUUAUUGAUAUAUAAUUUACAAAUACAAUUCACCCAUUUAAAGUGUACAAUUCAACUGCUUUUAGAAAUUUCCAGAUAUGUGUAACCAUCACCACAGAGCAUUUAAAAAAUUUUCAUCACCUCAAAAAGAAACCUGGGGGUUCUUUAGCUAUCACUCCCCUAUUUCCUCACUCCCCCAACCCCAAGCAACCACUAACCUACGUUCUCUAUACAUUUGCUUAUUCUGUAUUUUAUUUGAAUGAAAUUGUGUAAAAUGUAGUCUUCUGUGACUGGCAUAUUUCACUUAGGGGAUAGGUUUUUUUUUGUUUUUGUUUUCAAGUAAAGAAGUGAGAAUGUGAAAAAUUUGGAGGGAUUUUAAUCUCAGUGAAAGGGAAGGCCAGGGGGUCUCAUCACAGGAGAAGAGGAGAGGAAAAGGGAGAGGGGAA